rnacentral:rRNA from 1 species
AGAGUUUGAUCCUGGCUCAGGAUGAACGCUAGCGACAGGCCUAACACAUGCAAGUCGAGGGGCAGCGGAGAGGUAGCAAUACCUUUGCCGGCGACCGGCGCACGGGUGAGUAACACGUAUGCAAUCCACCUGUAACAGGGGGAUAACCCGGAGAAAUCCGGACUAAUACCCCAUAAUAUGGGCGUUCCGCAUGGAGAGCUCAUUAAAGAGAGCAAUUUUGGUUACAGACGAGCAUGCGCUCCAUUAGCCAGUUGGCGGGGUAACGGCCCACCAAAGCGACGAUGGAUAGGGGUUCUGAGAGGAAGGUCCCCCACAUUGGAACUGAGACACGGUCCAAACUCCUACGGGAGGCAGCAGUGAGGAAUAUUGGUCAAUGGUCGGCAGACUGAACCAGCCAAGUCGCGUGAGGGAAGACGGCCCUACGGGUUGUAAACCUCUUUUGUCGGAGAGUAAAGUAGCUACGCGUAGUGUAUUGCAAGUAUCCGAAGAAAAAGCAUCGGCUAACUCCGUGCCAGCAGCCGCGGUAAUACGGAGGAUGCAAGCGUUAUCCGGAUUUAUUGGGUUUAAAGGGUGCGUAGGCGGCACGCCAAGUCAGCGGUGAAAUUUCCGGGCUCAACCCGGACUGUGCCGUUGAAACUGGCGAGCUAGAGUACACAAGAGGCAGGCGGAAUGCGUGGUGUAGCGGUGAAAUGCAUAGAUAUCACGCAGAACCCCGAUUGCGAAGGCAGCCUGCUAGGGUGAAACAGACGCUGAGGCACGAAAGCGUGGGUAUCGAACAGGAUUAGAUACCCUGGUAGUCCACGCAGUAAACGAUGAAUACUAACUGUUUGCGAUACAAUGUAAGCGGUACAGCGAAAGCGUUAAGUAUUCCACCUGGGGAGUACGCCGGCAACGGUGAAACUCAAAGGAAUUGACGGGGGCCCGCACAAGCGGAGGAACAUGUGGUUUAAUUCGAUGAUACGCGAGGAACCUUA